rnacentral:rRNA from 1 species
GAUGAACGCUGGCGGCGUGCCUAAUACAUGCAAGUCGAGCGAACAGACGAGGAGCUUGCUCCUCUGACGUUAGCGGUGGACGGGUGAGUAACACGUGGAUAACCUACCUAUAAGACUGGGAUAACUUCAGGAAACCGGAGCUAAUACCGGAUAACAUGUUGAACCGCAUGGUUCAACAGUGAAAGACGGUCUUGCUGUCACUUAUAGAUGGAUCCGCGCCGCAUUAGCUAGUUGGUAAGGUAACGGCUUACCAAGGCAACGAUGCGUAGCCGACCUGAGAGGGUGAUCGGCCACACUGGAACUGAGACACGGUCCAGACUCCUACGGGAGGCAGCAGUAGGGAAUCUUCCGCAAUGGGCGAAAGCCUGACGGAGCAACGCCGCGUGAGUGAAGAAGGUCUUCGGAUCGUAAAACUCUGUUAUUAGGGAAGAACAAAUGUGUAAGUAACUAUGCACGUCUUGACGGUACCUAAUCAGAAAGCCACGGCUAACUACGUG